rnacentral:rRNA from 1 species
AUGGUGGGCAACGACAACUGGAUCAACAGCUACCUGGACGCCAUCCUCGACGCCGGCAAGUCGGCCGUCGGCGGCGACCGCCCCUCCUUGCUCCUCCGCGAGCGUGGCCACUUCUCCCCGGCCCGCUACUUCGUCGAGGAGGUCAUCACCGGCUACGACGAGACCGACCUCUACAAGACAUGGCUCCGGGCGAACGCGAUGCGGAGCCCGCAGGAGAGGAACACGCGGCUGGAGAACAUGACAUGGAGGAUCUGGAACCUCGCGAGGAAGAAGAAGGAGUUAGAGAAAGAAGAAGCCUGUCGUUUGUUGAAAAGGCAUCCAGAAACCGAGAAAACACGAAUUGAUGCUACAGCGGAUAUGUCUGAAGAUCUCUUUGAAGGUGAAAAGGGAGAAGAUGCUGGUGACCCAUCUGUUGCCUAUGGUGAUAGCACCACAGGGGUCUCACCCAAGACAAGUUCAGUUGACAAGCUGUACAUUGUAUUGAUCAGUCUCCAUGGUCUUGUCCGUGGUGAGAAUAUGGAGCUAGGCCGAGAUUCAGAUACUGGUGGCCAGGUCAAAUAUGUGGUUGAAUUUGCUAAAGCAUUGAGUUCGUCUCCUGGAGUUUACCGGGUUGAUUUGCUGACAAGACAAAUUUUGGCACCAAAUUUUGAUCGUAGUUAUGGUGAACCUGCAGAAAUGUUGGUUUCAACAACCUUUAAAAAUUCCAAACAGGAAAAGGGAGAGAACAGUGGUGGAUACAUCAUUCGGAUACCAUUUGGACCAAGAGAUAUGUACCUGACUAAAGAACGUCUAUGGCCUUUCAUUCAAGAAUUUGUUGAUGGUGCACUCAGCCAUAUUGUGCGGAUGUCAAAAACAAUUGGUGAAGAAAUCGGCUGUGGGCAUCCAGUCUGGCCUGCUGUGAUUCAUGGGCAUUACGCCAGCGCGGGAAUAGCUGCUACCCUGUUAUCAGGAGCACUUAACCUGCCUAUGGCAUUUACAGGACAUUUCCUUGGGAAAGAUAAACUGGAAGGGCUUCUCAAGCAAGGGCGACAAUCAAGGGAAGAAAUAAAUAUGACAUACAAAAUAAUGCGCCGAAUCGAGGCGGAGGAAUUGUCUCUUGAUGCAUCUGAAAUUGUUAUUGCUAGUACUAGGCAAGAGAUAGAAGAGCAGUGGAACUUGUAUGAUGGUUUUGAGGUCAUACUUGCAAGGAAGCUUCGAGCAAGAGUCAAGCGUGGUGCUAACUGCUAUGGGCGUUAUAUGCCUCGUAUGGUUAUAAUUCCUCCUGGUGUUGAAUUUGGUCAUAUAAUUCAUGAUUUCGAUAUAGAUGGUGAAGAAGAAAAUCAUGGCCCAGCCUCUGAGGAUCCGCCUAUCUGGUCUCAGAUAAUGCGCUUCUUUACAAAUCCUCGGAAGCCUAUGAUUUUGGCUGUUGCCCGUCCAUAUCCUGAAAAGAAUAUAACAACACUUGUAAAGGCAUUUGGUGAGUGCCGCCCACUGAGGGAGCUCGCAAAUCUCACACUAAUAAUGGGUAACCGUGAGGCUAUUUCAAAGAUGCACAACACGAGUGCUUCUGUCUUGACAUCUGUGCUUACACUAAUAGACGAAUACGAUUUGUAUGGUCAAGUGGCAUACCCCAAGCAUCACAAGCACUCUGAAGUUCCUGACAUUUACUGUUUAGCCACAAGAACUAAGGGGGCUUUUGUUAACGUGGCUUAUUUUGAACAAUUUGGUGUUACCUUGAUAGAGGCCGCUAUGAAUGGUUUGCCUGUUAUUGCUACAAAAAAUGGAGCUCCUGUUGAAAUUCAUCAGGUGCUCAACAAUGGUCUCCUUGUCGAUCCACAUGAUCAGAAUGCCAUUGCAGAUGCACUGUAUAAACUUCUUUCCGAGAAGCAACUUUGGUCAAGGUGCAGAGAAAAUGGACUAAAAAAUAUUCACCAAUUUUCCUGGCCUGAACAUUGCAAGAAUCACCUGUCAAGGAUAUUGACUCUUGGCAUGAGAUCUCCUGCUGUCGGUAGCGAAGAGGAAAGGAGUAAGGCACCUAUAUCAGGAAGGAAGCAUAUCAUUGUUAUUUCUGUAGACUCUGUUAACAAGGAGAAUCUAGUGCGGAUCAUCAGAAAUGCGAUUGAGGCCGCACAUACAGAAAACACACCGGCUUCAACUGGUUUCGUGCUGUCAACUUCGCUAACAAUAUCAGAGAUAUGUUCACUGCUAGUAUCUGUAGGCAUGCAUCCUGCUGGUUUUGAUGCUUUCAUCUGCAACAGUGGGAGUAGCAUUUACUAUCCUUCAUAUUCUGGUAAUACGCCAAGCAAUUCCAAGGUUACCCAUGUAAUAGAUCGAAAUCAUCAAUCACAUAUUGAGUAUCGUUGGGGAGGAGAAGGUCUAAGAAAGUAUCUUGUGAAAUGGGCUACUUCAGUGGUUGAAAGAAAGGGAAGAAUUGAAAGGCAAAUGAUUUUUGAAGAUUCAGAACACUCUUCUACAUAUUGUCUUGCAUUUAAAGUGGUCAAUCCAAAUCAUCUGCCUCCCCUAAAGGAGUUGAGGAAGUUGAUGAGAAUCCAGUCGCUCCGUUGUAAUGCGCUGUAUAACCACAGCGCUACCAGACUGUCUGUAACUCCUAUUCAUGCGUCACGUUCUCAGGCAAUAAGGUACUUGUUUGUACGGUGGGGGAUAGAGUUGCCAAAUAUCGUGGUCAUGGUUGGUGAAAGUGGUGAUUCCGAUUACGAAGAGCUGCUAGGGGGUCUCCACAGGACCAUAAUCCUGAAGGGCGACUUCAACAUUGCUGCAAACAGAAUCCACACAGUCCGGAGAUACCCCUUGCAGGAUGUCGUUGCACUGGACAGCUCCAACAUCAUCGAAGUCCAGGGUUGCACUACAGAGGACAUCAAGUCUGCCCUGCGUCAGAUUGGUGUGCCGACACAAUAA